CAGUCUUCAGCAGCCCGUGUGGCUGCGCAGCCAGGGCUGCUCCCCCGGGCAGCCUCCUUUGCCGCGUCACCGCCUGGCGACAGCGGCGCCCUGUCUCUGACGGCUCUUGGCCACACUGGAUGGCGUGAGGCUGCCCCUCCUCAGCACCGCCCGCCCGGACUCCGGACGGGCACAGCAAGGCCUCUUCAGAGCCAGGAACAGGAAGCAGUAAAUGCCCGAUCGAGGACAAGCUGAGGGAGGGGUGGACAGUCUAGAUUUGAGGCCCCGGUGCUAGGCUGGCGCCACUUCUCAGGGAGGCUGUGAUCGCGGCGACAGGCCCCAUGACCCCUCCCCCGGGAAGGUGAGCUCUAGAAGGUCAGAGUGCGCGCGCGCGUGGGGGGCCCUGUGGGGGCGUGGCUGGGAGACCCCGAAUUUUUUGAGAAGAGAAGAAAGGACUGAGGCUGCCUGUGAACUCCCCCCACUGUGCCGCCCACCCUGGAGAAACGGCCACUGGACUCACGACCGCUGUCCCGCCCGAGCUGGGUGGCAACGGGACAGAGCGUCCCUUUUCCCAGUGAGAGGCGACCAGUUCACAUUCAGAUCCUUUCCUGGAGAGCUAAUGGCCCUCUCAGGUUAAAGACUCAAGGCGAAUGAACUCAUCUGGUCACGACUCUGUGGGGGACACCUGGUGGGGGGGGUCUCAUCGCUGUAGCUUAAUUAAAGACCCCCAGGCGCCGGGUCAGCUGGUGGCCCUGCAGGCUUGACUAAUUGUAAUAUUUUUCUCAUUAAAUUUCUGGAAGGAGA